rnacentral:rRNA from 1 species
AGAGUUUGAUCAUGGCUCAGGACGAACGCUGGCGGCGCGCUUAACACAUGCAAGUCGAGCGAGAACCUGGCCUUCGGGCCUGGGGAAAGCGGCGAACGGGUGAGUAACACGUGGGUAACCCACCCUUGGUACUGGGAUAGCCCGGGGAAACCCGGAUUAAUACCGGAUGGCCCAACAGCUCUUCGGGGCGGUUGGAAAAGGUAGCUUCGGCCUCCGACCAAGGACGGGCCCGCGGCGGAUUAGCUUGUUGGUGGGGUAACGGCCUACCAAGGCGACGAUCCGUAGCUGGUCUGAGAGGACGAUCAGCCACACUGGGACUGAGACACGGCCCAGACUCCUACGGGAGGCAGCAGUGGGGAAUCUUGCGCAAUGGGCGAAAGCCUGACGCAGCGACGCCGCGUGGGGGAAGAAGGCUUUCGGGUUGUAAACCCCUUUCAGGAAGGACGAAGCCACUCGGGUUAAUAGCCCAGAGGGUGACGGUACUUCCAGAAGAAGCCCCGGCUAACUACGUGCCAGCCGCCGCGGUAAUAC